GUGGGGAAUAUUGCGCAAUGGGGGAAACCCUGACGCAGCAAUACCGCGUGAGUGAAGAAGGUUUUCGGAUCGUAAAACUCUUUUAUUGGGGAAGAAGAAGUGACGGUACCCAAUGAAGAAGUCCCGGCUAACUACGUGCCAGCAGCCGCGGUAAUACGUAGGGGACAAGCGUUGUCCGGAAUCACUGGGCGUAAAGGGCGCGUAGGCGGUUUUAUAAGUCAGAUGUGAAAGGUACCGGCUCAACCGGUGACGUGCAUUUGAAACUGUAAGACUUGAGUACUGGCGAGGCAAGUGGAAUUCCUAGUGUAGCGGUGAAAUGCGUAGAUAUUAGGAGGAACACCGGUGGCGAAGGCGGCUUGCUGGACAGAUACUGACGCUGAGGUGCGAAAGCGUGGGGAGCGAACAGGAUUAGAUACCCCAGUAGUCC
rnacentral:rRNA from 1 species